ensembl:lncRNA
GACCUGGUAACACUACUUGAGCAUUUCAAAAAAACAAAAAGUGGCUCAUGAUCUUAUUAGAACGAAUUUAAUUUUAGUUCUUUUUAAGAACUAAGCUCACCGUUUUUUCGUUGCAUUACAAAUUUAUUUAAAGUAGUGAAACAGCGCCCCCCUGUUUCAACGGUACCCGUCAUUGUGGCGAAGGUGGGUGUAGCACCUCUAGCUGAUUAUCGUCAAAUAAACAUACGUAUAUACAGUACUUGGUGCUCUGGGACCCGGACCUUAAAUUCAAUGAUUUCAGUCUUCAGCGAAAAUAUUUCAAUGUAACAACAAGCCAAUUUAGCUCGUUAAGCUAAUUUUCAGCUAGCUGCCAUUUAAUUAGCUACUUUGAGGAGUGAGUGGCGUCUCUCUCAGAAAGCAAAUACACGAUUUUGGCCUCCCUGGAUAUUUUUCCAUCACCAGGCCCGGAUGGCAGAGACAAACCAACAAAUGAAGGAAGUUGGCGCGAGGCUCAGGGCACGGCACCCAGCAGGCCCGGCACCCACCAGGCCCGGCACCCACCAGGCACGGCACCCAGCAGGCGGGGCACCCACCAGGCCCGUCUCUGCCACACACCACACGUAGAUAAACGCCACCAAUGAGACGGCGGGCCCUGAAACUCUGUAACCCUGUGAGCGGCUGGAUGGAAGCCCCGCUCUGUCAUCAGUAAUGGCAUUCCUCAGGGCAGCAGGCGGGGUUAAUGGCGAGCCCCGCCACAUUACCGAGCGCUCCCCCUCACGGUUUGGUGCGAGGUGACAAACGCCUCCAUGUGGAUUACAGAAUUUCUGGCAUUUUACAACCAGGUUAGCGCCACAGUGGCAGCGCACACCUCAGCCCCGGAGCGCCGGCGUGAGUUCAUUUGGCGGUUGUGCGUGUGAGUGGGCCUGUAUGUUUAUUCUGCGUGUAAUUCAGACGGGGAGAUUGUUGUGUAGACUGGAGUAAAUGGGGGCUGUGGAAUGUGAAUGGGGGUAAUCACAGCAGACCUACAGGAGUAACCAGAUACGGAGGGCCAGACUUCAGAGGAGUGGGAAUCCCUCCAUGUUGAUGACACCACCUACUGAAGGAGACACUUUGGCUGGAGCCUAAACACUUCGCCCCCCCCCUCCCUUAUCCCAACCCUCCCACUUUGAUAGGGUUCUGAUGCUCAAGAAUGCAGGAAUUUGACUGAUUCUGGAUUCCAAAUGAGUCUGAAUUUGUUGCUUCAUAAAUUCUCGAUGUGCAACACGCUAGCAUUAAUACAGGUUGAUGCAUUUUUCCUUUUGUGUAUUCAAGGCUUAUAAAUCAGGCCUGUAAUUCUCUCCACGACUCCUUGUUUCCUUGACAGCAUUGGUCAUAAAUCCAGACUAGCUGUGUGAGCCAGUUGGAACAUAAAAAGGUGACAGGAUCUUCUGCACAACAGCAAUUCGGCCUACGAGCAAAUCCCUUUUAGCAUUUAGCUAGCCGCGUUUUAUAAGCUGUCAGCCCCCCCCCCCCCCCCCCCCCCGCGCACCAGUAUGAAGGCAUGCGUGGCUGCUAUGACCCUCAGACUGAGAGGGCACAUCUCACAUGAAUGCUAAUGCUAAUACGCUAACACUAUCCUAUCAUCGCUCACUUCCGCCGUCUUUUUUUUUGAACGCAUUGUCCGUUUCGCUAAUCUGCCGGGAGAGUGGACGCACACAGGCGCAC